GCAGAGAUUGUCCAGUCAACAAGCAUGUAGCGUAGACUGUCCAGGCGACACACGUACUUAGGUAUCGUCAUGAGUUAAUGUUCACAUGUAAACAGCAGCUCAUGUAGUGCAGAGAUUGUCCAGUCAACAAGCAUGUAGCGUAGACUGUCCAGGCGACACACGUACUUAGGUAUCGUCAUGAGUUAAUGUUCACAUGUAAACAGCAGCUCAUGUAGUGCAGAGAUUGUCCAGUCAACAAGCAUGUAGCGUAGACUGUCCAGGCGACACACGUACUUAGGUAUCGUCAUGAGUUAAUGUUCACAUGUAAACAGCAGCUCAUGUAGUGCAGAGAUUGUCCAGUCAACAAGCAUGUAGCGUAGACUGUCCAGGCGACACACUAAGGUACUAAAGUAAUCGUCAUCUAGACUGAUAAAUAAUAAAUAAAAUUGGAGUGUCUGUUUGUAAUAUUGAAAUAACCGCUUUUUACUACAUGCAUAUUAUGAAUAUACAUACGAUACAUACACUAAAAUAAUAUUUUUACAAUUUUUGUCUGUCUAUCUGUUUGUUCUGACUAAUCUCUGAAA